UAGGGAAUCUUCCACAAUGGAACGAAAGUCUGAUGGAGCAACGCCGCGUGAGUGAAGAAGGGUUUCGGCUCGUAAAACUCUGUUGUUAAAGAAGAACAUAUCUGAGAGUAACUGUUCAGGUAUUGACGGUAUUUAACCAGAAAGCCACGGCUAACUACGUGCCAC
rnacentral:rRNA from 1 species